UAUGUAGGGCGCAAGCGUUGUCCGGAAUUAUUGGGCGUAAAGAGCUCGUAGGCGGUCUGUCGCGUCUGCCGUGAAAACCCGAGGCUUAACCUCGGGCUGGCGGUGGAUACGGGCAGACUAGAGGUAGGUAGGGGAGAAUGGAAUUCCCGGUGUAGCGGUGAAAUGCGCAGAUAUCAGGAGGAACACCGAUGGCGAAGGCAGGUCUCUGGGCCACUACUGACGCUGAGAAGCGAAAGCAUGGGGAGCGAACAGG
rnacentral:rRNA from 1 species